rnacentral:rRNA from 1 species
CCUGGUGGUUCUGGCGGGGUGGCUGCACCCGUUCCCAUUCCGAACACGGCCGUGAAACGCCCCAGCGCCGAUGGUACUUCGUCUUAAGACGCGGGAGAGUAGGUCGCUGCCAGGUCUGCAAAGCGCAAGAAAAUCCGGAAAACAAAGAUCACCUUCUCUUCAUGCCUCGGCCCAGCCGAAACACGGGCCGCCCUCAAGCGGCCCUUUUGUUUUGCUA